CCAAAACAUUCGCAUUUGGUGGUUUGAUUCCGUGUGGUCGUGAAGUGUUUUGAUAAAAAAAUGCCGGCUUGCGUCUCUUACGGGUGUACUAAUCGUUCUGAUUGUAGUCUAAAGUUUAAACAAAUCACAUUUCAUUCUUUUCCUAUCAAUCCAACGCGAAGAGCUCUUUGGGUGAACGCUUUGAGAAGGAAAGAUUGGAAACCAACCAAGUACAGUAAAAUAUGUUCCCAGCAUUUCCGGGAGGAAGAUAUUGAUCGAACAUCAGUUUCGUCAGUCCGCAUUAGGGAAGAUGCUGUGCCAUCAAUUUUUUCCGCUUAUCCUGCUCACUUGCAAAAGAAAGAGCGGAAGAGACCACCACCAAAAGAAAGGCAGAUGGCUACAAAAAGCACUGCAGAUUUAGCCACCAAGACUG